rnacentral:rRNA from 1 species
AUGAACGCUGGCGGCGUGCCUAACACAUGCAAGUCGAGCGAGAUACUGUUGAACAGAGAUUCGUCAACGGGAUACAGUGGAAAGCGGCGGACGGGUGAGUAACGCGUAGGCAACCUGCCCCUUACACAGGGAUAGCCAUUGGAAACGAUGAUUAAAACCUGAUGACACCUGAGGAUGACAUCUUCCUGAGGUCAAAGAUUUAUCGGUAAGGGAUGGGCCUGCGUCUGAUUAGAUAGUUGGUGAGGUAACGGCCCACCAAGUCAACGAUCAGUAGCCGACCUGAGAGGGUGAUCGGCCACAUUGGAACUGAGACACGGUCCAAACUCCUACGGGAGGCAGCAGUGGGGAAUAUUGCACAAUGGGGGAAACCCUGAUGCAGCAACGCCGCGUGAAGGAAGAAGGUCUUCGGAUCGUAAACUUCUGUCCUAGAGGAAGAUAAUGACGGUACUCUUGGAGGAAGCCCCGGCUAACUACGUGCCAGCAGCCGCCGU